AGAGUUUGAUCAUGGCUCAGGACGAACGCUGGCGGCGCGCCUAACACAUGCAAGUCGAGCGUGAAUCUCGAUCGGGGUAACUCGAUCGAGAGGAAAGCGGCGAACGGGUGAGUAACACGUGAGGAACCUGCCCCGGACUCUGGAAUAACAGCGGGAAACCGCUGCUAAUACCGGAUACUCCAUCUCGGUCGCAUGGCCGAGAUGGGAAAGUUUUUUCGGUCCGGGAUGGCCUCGCGGCCUAUCAGCUAGUUGGUGGGGUAACGGCCUACCAAGGCAACGACGGGUAGCUGGCGUGAGAGCGUGGCCAGCCACAUUGGGACUGCGAUACGGCCCAAACUCCUACGGGAGGCAGCAGUGGGGAAUCUUGCACGAUGGGCGAAAGCCUGAUGCAGCGACGCCGCGUGAGGGAUGAAGGCCCUAGGGUUGUAAACCUCUUUCAGCAGGGACGAAGCGAAAGUGACGGUACCUGCAGAAGAAGCCCCGGCUAACUACGUGCCAGCAGCCGCGGUAAUACGUAGGGGGCGAGCGUUGUCCGGAUUUAUUGGGCGUAAAGAGCGCGUAGGUGGUUCGUAAAGUCGGAUGUGAAAGUCCAGGGCUCAACCCUGGGAUGCCAUUCGAUACUUGCGAACUGGAGCACGGUAGGGGGAUCUGGAAUUCCUGGUGUAGCGGUGAAAUGCGCAGAUAUCAGGAGGAACACCGGUGGCGAAGGCGGGAUCCUGGGCCGUUGCUGACACUGAGGCGCGAAAGCUGGGGGAGCGAACAGGAUUAGAUACCCCCGUAGUCC
rnacentral:rRNA from 1 species